UACAGAGGUCUCAACCGUUGUUCGGAUUCAUUGGGCGUAAAGGGUGCGUAGGCGGCGGGGCAAGUCAGGUGUGAAAUCUCGGGCUCGGACCCGAACACUGACACUGAUACUGCCUUGCUCGAGUACUGGAGAGGAGACUGGAAUUUACGGUGUAGCAGUGAAAUGCGUAGAUAUCGUAAGGAAGACCAGUGGCGAAGGCGAGUCUCUGGACAGUUACUGACGCUGAGGCACGAAGGCCAGGGGAGCAAACGGG
rnacentral:rRNA from 1 species